GGGCUCUUAGCUCAGUCGGUUAGAGCAGCGGACUCAUAAUCCGUAGGUCCGGGGUUCGAGCCCCUGAGGGCCCA
rnacentral:tRNA from 1 species